rnacentral:rRNA from 1 species
CACACCGCCCGUCAAGCCAUGGAAGCUGGGAGUACUCGAAGUCGCUGUGCCAACCGCAAGGAGGCAGGCGCCUAAGGUAAAACCAGUGACUGGGGCU